rnacentral:rRNA from 1 species
GACCACAGCCAUAUCACCCUGCAACCCAAGACUGGAUACUCACUGAAGCAAAGCUGGACUGAGCCUGGUCAACCCCUGGAUGCGAGACCACAUAUGAAAACUAGGUUGCUGUUGGAA